UGAUUCGGCCGCUUCAAUGUCUGUGCUGGGAUCUAUGAAACCCUGAAGAGCAGCUGACACGAUAAAACAGAUGGCCCCGUGACCGGAAAUCUCAGAAGGGCUGACGUGGCCAGAGAAAAGGCUGCUUUGGGCUACAGUUGGAAGGGAGCAGAGAAAGACCUAUGAGAAGCUGCGACAAGACGUAGCUUCUGAACUCCUUUCAAUACAACCCACUUGGCAGCCACACUGAUGAAGUGGUGUUGUCAUGCAAGAUGAGGUCAACUUUCCAUCCUUGGCUUAAGGUAUAAUUUUCAGGUGCUUGAAUUUACGUAUAA
rnacentral:lncRNA from 1 species